rnacentral:sRNA from 1 species
CAAGCUGGUAGAAAUAAAAAUGAGGAUACCGCUCUUUGCGGUAUCCUCAUUUUUAUUUCCGCGAGCAACGAGCCAAGCGGAAAUGCUUGCAUUUUCAUUUGGCGACUGCCGCGAGGGUCAAAUACUCUGCAGCUUG